CUACGGGUGGCAGCAGUGGGGAAUUUUGGACAAUGGGCGCAAGCCUGAUCCAGCCAUGCCGCGUGCAGGAUGAAGGCCUUCGGGUUGUAAACUGCUUUUGUACGGAACGAAAAGACUCCUUCUAAUAAAGGGGGUCCAUGACGGUACCGUAAGAAUAAGCACCGGCUAACUACGUGCCAGCAGCCGCGGUAAUACGUAGGGUGCGAGCGUUAAUCGGAAUUACUGGGCGUAAAGCGUGCGCAGGCGGUGAUGUAAGACAGAUGUGAAAUCCCCGGGCUCAACCUGGGAACUGCAUUUGUGACUGCAUCGCUGGAGUGCGGCAGAGGGGGAUGGAAUUCCGCGUGUAGCAGUGAAAUGCGUAGAUAUGCGGAGGAACACCGAUGGCGAAGGCAAUCCCCUGGGCCUGCACUGACGCUCAUGCACGAAAGCGUGGGGAGCAAACAGGAUUAGAUACCCUUGUAGUC
rnacentral:rRNA from 1 species